UUUGAGACGUCAUGAAUCAUUGUAUAGUACUAUAUUUAAUCAGAGGCACCAAAGACAGGAACAUGUAGAAGAAAAAGAAGGGAAAACAUCAUGUGAUCAUGUCCCUAUGUCUGAUUCUGAAGUAGCAGAAUUGACAUGGGAAAAUGGACAGUUAGCUAAACAUGACCUCGGUAAAAUGGUUUCUGCGCCUGUUUAAGUUAGGACCGGUGAAAUGUUAGAAUGAAUAGUCCAUCAAGGCACAUGGGAAAGGUUAAUCAAAUUGACGCAAACUUUAGCUUAUUAGCUGCACCAUGGGCUGGAAACUGGCGGAGAGUUCAUCAGGCGACAUGCAGAUGAAACGAGAGGAGGCAAGUUUAAGUUCGAUGGCUGCGGCUUCUGGUGGAAAAUUGAGCAAAAGCUCGAGCCAUAUAGAUACAUCUUCGAGUUGCCAUGUGCGUCCAGCAGAUUUAGCAAAGAAAAGGAAGAGAUCAAAAUCUGAACUAAAUUGUAGAAGAUAUUUUGAGGAAGAUCAAGAGGAAGAAGCCAGUGGAUGUGCUAGUCCAGUGCAACAUUUUGUAGAGAUACUGAUACUACUAUGAUGACAUGGGCUUCUUUUGAACCUUUUCAAAGCUUCAAGAGUACGAGAAAUGGAGAUGAAGAUUUGGGUUUUCACACUUGCUCGGUUAGAAAUUUUUUUCAAUUUUGUAGGAGGAACAUAUACUAAACUUCGAGCAUGUUUUCGUUACUCAGUGCUGCUCAAGACCAUACAUCAUGAUUGAUAAAAUUUUAGCUUCAUUUUCUUAGAGUCUAGUCCUGUCCAAUCCUACUAAUUUUCUCUGCUGAAUCUUAACUUCAGACAAACGAACUCCACUUUCAUCAGUAGGCAUAGAAAUAGACAAUGGGAAUCUCUGGUCUCUUAGAUUUUACUCGCAAGACCUCGAAUCUAGUGAGCUAUCAUCUUCUAAUCUUUUUACAAUUGCAAGUCUUUGAGCUCUGAUGCACUUGUAAGUCUAGACAAAGAAUUUUCAUGUAUUUCUAACAAGAUAAAAGAUAUUAAUCAAAUUACUGGAAAAAGAAACUGUAAGGAGCUCCUUGUACUUCCUUUCGAGUUACUCUCUCAACCUGCUUUAAUUGUUGUAAAUUAUGUUAGGAAAAACAGGAUGAAGAACGUGGGAACAACUGGGAUGCCACUAUUCGAUCUCAAUCAUCAGGAAGCCAUAGUUGGGCUGCAGCCAUACAUAAUCAGUCAUAAAGGAGGUGUAGAGAGAGGAUCAAUCAGAAGAUGAAGGCUUUUCAAAAAUUGGUGCCCAUUGCAAGUAAGGAGAGGUAACUUACUAAUUUCACGUGUCAGACUUUUGAUAAAAGAACAAAUUUGUAACGACCAGGAUUUUUCCCUACAAGCCUUUCGCCCAGGGUGAUGCGAAAUAAAUUCACAUUGGGAUCCAACCCCCAGUGGACGGCACAAAUGAGUAAUGUCUGCACGUGAAUAGCCCCUAAGCCAAACGAAUGAAAGGGCAAGAUGAUGAAAUUCCAUGGUAGUUACAAGAAUGUGGAUGUUGAUUAAUGAAUUCGGUUGUGCUAAAUAUAUAUAAUGGUUUACACGCGUAUGAUGUAGUGUGAUAUAAUUGGGUCAGAAUUUC